GAUUGAGACUUGACGCCGUUAAACUGUAUAACGGUUUUCCUACCUCAUGAUCUCCUGUUUGUAGGAGUCUGGUCUAGUUUUUUCCUGCAAGAAACGGUUCUCCGUUUUAGCAAGCGCUGCAUCCACUUCUCUGGCGAGAAAGUUCUGUUUCUCGCCGGAAACUUCAUAGAUUCCGACAGAAAUUUUCACCUCCAUGGUGGGGGAGAGACUAAUGAAGGUAUAAGAAAAGGGGAAAAAAUGGAGAAGUGAGAAAGGAGGUGGUGGUUAACGUGCAAUGCAGGGAAA
rnacentral:misc_RNA from 1 species